rnacentral:rRNA from 1 species
GUGGGGAAUAUUGGACAAUGGGCGAAAGCCUGAUCCAGCCAUGCCGCGUGUGUGAAGAAGGUCUUCGGAUUGUAAAGCACUUUAAGUUGGGAGGAAGGGCAGUAAGUUAAUACCUUGCUGUUUUGACGUUACCGACAGAAUAAGCACCGGCUAACUUCGUGCCAGCAGCCGCGGUAAUACGAAGGGUGCAAGCGUUAAUCGGAAUUACUGGGCGUAAAGCGCGCGCAAGUGGGUUUGUAAGUUGGAGGUGAAAUCCCCGGGCUCAACCUGGGAACUGCCUCCAAAACUGCAUGAGUAUAGUACGGUAGAGGGUAGUGGAAUUUCCUGUGUAGCGGUGAAAUGCGUAGAUAUAGGAAGGAACACCAGUGGCGAAGGCGACUACCUGGACUGAUACUGACACUGAGGUGCGAAAGCGUGGGGAGCAAACAGGAUUAGAAACCCCGGUAGUCC